AUGAAUGAGAGCAACAGUGGAUAUGUGUGGCAGUUUAUGACAAGGAUUCUCUGUGUUUGCAGGUGUCCAGUGACAGGUACAGAUGGUAAAGUCUGGGGACGCUUGGUGCAGUCUGAGGGCAUCCUGAAACUCUUCUAUGCAGCCUCUGGAUUCGCCUUCAAUAAUUACAGAAAUUACUGGGUCCUCCAGGCUCCUGGGAAUGGGCUCAAGUGGGUUGGACUAACAGGCACUGUUGGUGGUAACACAUACUAUGCAGAGUCUGUCAAGGACAGAUUCAUCAUCUCCAGAGACAAUCCCAAAAACCAGCUCUAUUUGCAAAUGAAUAGCCUGAGAGAUGUGUACACAGCCCUUUAUUACUGUGCAGGAGACCUAGUGAAGGGAGUUCAGUUUGAGCACCAACAUAAACCUCCCUGCAGUGGUGCUGAGAACCAGCAGAUGGUGUGA